rnacentral:rRNA from 1 species
GACGAACGCUGGCGGCGUGCUUAACACAUGCAAGUCGAACGGAAAGGCCCUGCUUUUGUGGGGUGCUCGAGUGGCGAACGGGUGAGUAACACGUGAGUAACCUGCCCUUGACUUUGGGAUAACUUCAGGAAACUGGGGCUAAUACCGGAUAGGAGCUCCUGCUGCAUGGUGGGGGUUGGAAAGUUUCGUCGGUUGGGGAUGGACUCGCGGCUUAUCAGCUUGUUGGUGGGGUCGUGGCUUACCAAGGCUUUGACGGGUAGCCGGCCGGAGAGGGUGACCGGCCACAUUGGGACUGAGAUACGGCCCAGACUCCUACGGGAGGCAGCAGUGGGGAAUAUUGCACAAUGGGCGGAAGCCUGAUGCAGCAACGCCGCGUGCGGGAUGACGGCCUUCGGGUUGUAAACCGCUUUCGCCUGUGACGAAGCGUGAGUGACGGUAAUGGGUAAAGAAGCACCGGCUAACUACGUG